rnacentral:lncRNA from 1 species
GGUCCUUGGACCUCAAGCUAAAAAUUCUGUCUGGUUUAACUCCUUCAGCUCAUAAACUGGAAGGGCCCAUGAAUGAACAUGAUGACUUAGGCGACAGCAAGUUCAGUUGUGGAGGCUGAAGUUGGAUUGCUUUUGGUGGAGAAGAGAAGAGCUGAAGAGGAACAGGAGAUAGGUACAAGAGGGAAGGCUUGUCCCUGCGCCACAAGGUCUGCGUCCUCCGUGGGGAAGACUUGAACACCAAGAGUGAGUCAUUUGGCUGGAGGCUGAAAUCAUCUAGAGGUUUCUUCAUUCACUUGACAUCUUCGUUCUGGUACAUAUGGUUUGAACUUCUCGCAGCAAGGCAGCUGGAUUCAGAGAGGAAAUCUCCCAAAAGUCACAAUGACAUAAUUUGUAUCCUGAGCACUUUGAAACAGGGGCAGACCUGAGUGGGACUCUACUGGCAGAGGCUCAGGACAACAUUAACGCACCAGGAUCAACACCUAUAGAACUGGACAGAAGGAGGAGCUGAAUUGCAACAUGGUCACAGCAAAAACCAGGGGAAUUCUGGAGUAGGUCCAAUUGCUGCUUGUUGCUCAUCUAGAACACCUGGGGAUGGGAAGAACUGCCUGAGGCCACGGUAGUUGACUGUGCUGGGUUUUUGCUGUCCCAGGAAUGGAGCUCCAGGGUGUGGUAGGAUUGUCACAAAGAAAAGGGAACACUGUGGAAGAGACUGGACGCAUCAGGAGGGGCUUUCAAAACAUCAAGUUCUCUCUACCCUCAGCCAGAUUCAGCAUCUCAUUAAGGUAUGUCACUGUCUUCAUGAUUGCCAUUGAAGAAAAUAUUCUCUUGGAAAACAUAAGGUCGUGCAGAAUUUCUAACAGUGAAAUCUCAUUGGUCAUAUCCUAUUCUGAUGCCUCAUGGAGUUUGUCAUUUUUGGAGCUGCUAUAUUGACCAAUACAGACGUACCUGUAUUAGGUGGGUACAACAACUAUCGGUUUAAGCAUCCUAAGAAAGUCAGUUUUGCCACUUGUGGAAAGAACUGGGCUCUUUUUCAUCCUGUUUCUACACACGUACAGGCAACCAUGAUUGUUCAGAAUACCCAAUUCACAAAAUAUUUGAUUCAUAAAUUUUAAUUAAAGCCUUAAAUUCAAAAUGUUUCUGAAACUGGUGAAACUUCAAAAUGGAACAUCAUAAAAUGAAAAAGGAGGGGCUGGCCCCGUGGCCGAGUGGUUAAGUUCAUGCGCUCCCCUGCAGGCGGCCCAGUGUUUCGUUGGGUCGAAUCCUGGGCGUGGACAUGGCACUGCUCAUCAAACCACGCUGAGGUGGCGUCCCACAUGCCACAACUAGAAGGACCCACAACGAAGAAUAUACAACUAUGUACCAGGGGGCUUUGGGGAGAAAAAGGAAAAAAUAAAAUCUUUUAAAAAAAAAUAAAUAAAAUAAAAUAAAAUGAAAAAGGAGUCAAUGUAUUCUUUUUAAAUAGCCAAACACAGCCUUCAAACACAAAAGCACCAACAACUGGUGCCUUGCUUGUUUUGACAAACUAUUCAAAUAAAUUUUAAUAGAAAUUAAAAAUGUGUAAAUUCUGCUGCACAGCUUAUAAUCACAAUGCUUAGUAUAAUAUAUAGUAUAUUGCACACAGAAAAUGUGACUUUAAUGCAUACCACUAGCAAAAGUACCUAACUUUUUAAUGCUCUGUACUUGCGCAUAUUUUUGUUAGAUAUGUUUGAUAUCACAGACUUCAGAUGUCUUUUAUAAUUUUGUGUUCCUUUGGUUGAUUUCCACAACAGAUUUGCAUGCCCCUAACCCAUCCUGGUUAAUAUUUCUUUAUAUCUGUAUCUGAAGUUUGGGAAAGUGACCUGAAUGAACAAGCCUUGACUGUGGUGUCACCAGUCUUUCAGUGGUUAUGUUAAUAACAUGUACAUAUAUUUCACCUCCAUCUCUUUUUCCUCAGAAACUGUCAUGUGUGAAAUCAUAAUGCUGUUUCCUUGAUGAGUUUUAUCAUAAAAAACAUCACAUUCAUUCUGCAUGAUUUUUUAAAAUUAACUUUACUGGGGUAUAACUUACAUAAAAUGCACCCAUUUUAACUGUACAUCAUGAUACACUUAGAUAAAAUGUAUGCACCUGCACUCUGCAUGAUUUUUAACUUAGAGGGAUGUGUGACCUGAGUUCAAUACUAAAUGGUCACUUACUAGCUAUGUGACCUUGGGUAAGUUACCUUAACUUCUCAAAGCCUCAGUUCUUCUCUCUGUAAAAUGAGGAUAAUGACAAUCUCAUAGAGUUGUGAAGAUUCACUCUGCUACCAUCUACUGCUGAAUAAUUUCUGAAGGACAAAGUUCCACUAGAAAUAAGUAGUUAUGAAGUCAGGCAAAAAUUCACAGACGCUAAAGCGUAGCUUCUGCAAUUGUUCCAGUACGAUGCUAAGCACUGGAAGCAGGUUGGUGGCGGGUUUUUUUUCCUUUACACUCCCUACAAGCGUGAAGGCAACGUUCUUCAGCGUCUGAGAACGUGGGCGAACUGUAUGUGCUGAAUGACGUGGCUUCGCUUUGGUCACAAGGGCUUCUGCCAGCCAAUGAACAACUUCCUGUGAAUACAGUCUGACGUCAGACAUGGAGAAACCCAUACGGCAGUGGCUUCAUGUCAUCCUUGAUUACGUCUGGAUAUAUACUCGGAGAUUUUUUUCUUUUUUUUCAUUUAUUUGUUUAUUUUUGGAUGUACAUCAUAAUAUAUUUCCGAUUCUGUGUAGAUUACAUCAUGUUCACCACCCGAAAACUAAUUACAGUCCAUCCCCUCACAGGCACUUUGGAAUUCAGCUGCAUUCUUCUACUUUCAACAAGUUACCUUCCUACCACUUCCAUUUGGGUGGAGCCAGAAGGAAGAAACGCCCAAACAGAUCUUCAGGAUCCACCCUCCCCAAUAGGUUCUCACGGCAGAGAUGCGCCUGGCAGGAGCUUCAACCCCAAGGCCACCCGCCGCCGCGGGUUCCCAAACCCGGAUAGGGCCCUAAUGGGAAAGCAGCCUGGGUUCGCCUCGGCCCAGCCUCCGCCAAGUCUUCGGGAUCUGACGACCCACAACAGCGCGAGGGCGGAGGGACCGGAGGAAGCAGAGGAAGAGGAGGAAGAGGAAUUGCUUUUGUCGAGGCUCCGCCCGGCGCUAGCCAGGCCUCGUGGAGCCUCCGGGGCUCGGGGUCCCCAGGGGGCGUGGCCUCAGGGGCGGAAGCGGAGCGCGGGCGGGGGCUCAGGCAGCGCGCGGCGCGGGGGAGGGUCGGAGCCUCACCGGGCGGGGCGGGGCCGCAGGGCCUCCCCAGAGCGGGCGGCGGAGCUGCACUAGUCCGCGCGCGGUAGGGCGGAGACCCCGUACCCGAGGAGAAGGCAAAUUCUUAAGAAGGUCUCCAGUUCUGCCCAUCCUGCCCCACAGUGUAAGUGACCAGUGCGGGUCGCCAGCCCGAGAGCCGGCAAUCAGGGUAGCUUCUGUUUUCAUUUUCACUUUCCCGCCCACGCCUCAGACUUGGAGCGGAGCAAGGCGUGGGGGCCAGCCCUGGUGUCACCGCCUCCGCCGCCAGGCUGGUCCCCUACCGGCGGCAGGCGAGGGCACAGGGGCAGUGGUGUGGGGGUUAGGUGCUCUGCAGGGUGCACUCUCCAAAAUGCUACCCUGCCCCGAGAUUUCCGCCAUCGAAGCAGUCCAGGAUAAAAUGCAAAUAUACUGGGGUCUUAAUUAGUAACUGAAGUGUUUCUGGCCCCCAGCUAUCUAAAAAUAUUCUUCUGGUUUAAGAGAUUAAGUGCCUUUUUCUUCUUUUUCUUUCUAGUGGAAAACUGGACGCUGAGAAGUACACGCCAGAUUUGGCGGCCAGGCUAGUCUGAGAGCUAUAGGACAUGGAGCACCCCCAGGGGAAGCAAGACAGGAUUCUCUCUCCCUCCUAGAUGUGAAUGUGUGACAUAGCUCCGCUCUCAACUCCUCUUUGCAGAUGAUUUGUGUUGUCAGAUAAUUCAAUCUUUCUAGUUUUGUGACAGCUUCUUAACUGAAUUCCUCCACUUUUAGUUCAGCUUAAGCCUUGAUUGUGUCAUCUACCCCAAUGCUAGACGAAAGAGUUAAAGGACCAAAAGAGAGUAAGCCUUUUAAAGAAAGAAAAGAGCUAUAUAAUUGCCUAAGUAAAGCAUACUUCAGCUUUCAUAACUGCAAAAUACGUUCAGUUUAACCAACCAAAUUUUGUGCUGGACCCUGGGAUAACACAUAUGUACUAUAGAUACUCUAGUAGGGAAGAUAGAUGAAUAGAAAGACAACUAUAAGUCAGUGUUAUACCUUUAAUAAUAAGAGCACAUACUAGGUACAAAAGUGGCUAACUGAAGGAGUGACUAAUUCUAUGAGGUAUCUGGGGACAGGGGUAUAAGAAAAAGGUUUCAGCCAGGAAUGAUGCCCAUCAGAGGGGGUGUUUGAAGCAUUAGCAGGAAUGGUUAAAAAAAAAAAAAGCUCAUGAGGUAGAUAGUAAUAAAUGACUACGAAAUACUGAUUGACAACACAGAAGAAAGUAAACUGUAAAGAGGUGAAUUCUCUUAAUUUUAAAUUAUCAGCAAAGAGAUUAGUUGAAAAAUGGGGUGAAGGAAUAAAGAACUCCUUUUAGUCAAGUCUUAAAAGUUACAGAAGUAAAAUAACGCUUCCAUAAUUCCCACUCCAGUAAAGACCAGUGUUGUUACAUUGGUGUAUGUUCCUCCAGGGUGUGUAUUCAUGACUGACCUAGUUUUCUGUAGAAAUGGAAUCUUCAUACACUGGAGGUGGUGUAGGAAAGUGGUUGCAUGUGCUGGCUUAGGCAGUCUGGUCUGGAGUGCAGGGUCCACUCCUUCCCAGUUCUGUCAUCUUGGGAAGUCAUUUCUCUUCACCUCAGUUUCCUCCUCUGCAGAAUAGGGCUAUAACUGUGUCACUUGUCGGUUGAGAUUUUAAAUGUCAGCAGAGACGUUUUGUGCAUGGAAAGGAACCCAUAAAGUGGCUUUUGUUUUAAUUGAUAUUUAAUUUAUUAGGAGUGUAAAAUUUAAUUCUAGUUACUAAGCAGUGAAACCCAAAUCUCAAAUUCACUUAUAAAUCUAUCAAUUUUAUGUUAAAAUAAAACACUUUUCUUGUUCUUUGCUUAAUCCUCAGUGAACAUAUUACUUUGACAUAUUAAACUUCCCAUUUAAACACUAUAAAUGGAAUAGAAUUUUCUUAAGUAUUACAUAUUAAAAUCACAAAAGCACACAAAUCUAAC